rnacentral:rRNA from 1 species
UACGUAGGGGGCAAGCGUUGUCCGGAAUCAUUGGGCGUAAAGAGCGUGUAGGCGGCUCGGUAAGUCCGCUCUGAAAGCCCGGGGGCUCAACCCCGGGAGGCGGGCGGAUACUGUCGGGCUAGAGUCCGGAAGAGGCGAGUGGAAUUCCUGGUGUAGCGGUGAAAUGCGCAGAUAUCAGGAGGAACACCGGUGGCGAAGGCGGGUCUCUGGGACGUGACUGACGCUGAGACGCGAAAGCUAGGGGAGCAAACAGG